CCCUGUCAGAUGACGCUGGCGGCGUGCCUAAUACAUGCAAGUCGAACGAGUUCUCGUUGAUGAUCGGUGCUUGCACCGAGAUUCAACAUGGAACGAGUGGCGGACGGGUGAGUAACACGUGGGUAACCUGCCCUUAAGUGGGGGAUAACAUUUGGAAACAGAUGCUAAUACCGCAUAGAUCCAAGAACCGCAUGGUUCUUGGCUGAAAGAUGGCGUAAGCUAUCGCUUUUGGAUGGACCCGCGGCGUAUUAGCUAGUUGGUGAGGUAAUGGCUCACCAAGGCGAUGAUACGUAGCCGAACUGAGAGGUUGAUCGGCCACAUUGGGACUGAGACACGGCCCAAACUCCUACGGGAGGCAGCAGUAGGGAAUCUUCCACAAUGGACGCAAGUCUGAUGGAGCAACGCCGCGUGAGUGAAGAAGGCUUUCGGGUCGUAAAACUCUGUUGUUGGAGAAGAAUGGUCGGCAGAGUAACUGUUGUCGGCGUGACGGUAUCCAACCAGAAAGCCACGGCUAACUACGUGCCAGCAGCCGCGGUAAUACGUAGGUGGCAAGCGUUAUCCGGAUUUAUUGGGCGUAAAGCGAGCGCAGGCGGUUUUUUAAGUCUGAUGUGAAAGCCCUCGGCUUAACCGAGGAAGCGCAUCGGAAACUGGGAAACUUGAGUGCAGAAGAGGACAGUGGAACUCCAUGUGUAGCGGUGAAAUGCGUAGAUAUAUGGAAGAACACCAGUGGCGAAGGCGGCUGUCUGGUCUGUAACUGACGCUGAGGCUCGAAAGCAUGGGUAGCGAACAGGAUUAGAUACCCUGGUAGUCCAUGCCGUAAACGAUGAAUGCUAGGUGUUGGAGGGUUUCCGCCCUUCAGUGCCGCAGCUAACGCAUUAAGCAUUCCGCCUGGGGAGUACGACCGCAAGGUUGAAACUCAAAGGAAUUGACGGGGGCCCGCACAAGCGGUGGAGCAUGUGGUUUAAUUCGAAGCAACGCGAAGAACCUUACCAGGUCUUGACAUCUUUUGAUCACCUGAGAGAUCAGGUUUCCCCUUCGGGGGCAAAAUGACAGGUGGUGCAUGGUUGUCGUCAGCUCGUGUCGUGAGAUGUUGGGUUAAGUCCCGCAACGAGCGCAACCCUUAUGACUAGUUGCCAGCAUUUAGUUGGGCACUCUAGUAAGACUGCCGGUGACAAACCGGAGGAAGGUGGGGAUGACGUCAAAUCAUCAUGCCCCUUAUGACCUGGGCUACACACGUGCUACAAUGGAUGGUACAACGAGUUGCGAGACCGCGAGGUCAAGCUAAUCUCUUAAAGCCAUUCUCAGUUCGGACUGUAGGCUGCAACUCGCCUACACGAAGUCGGAAUCGCUAGUAAUCGCGGAUCAGCACGCCGCGGUGAAUACGUUCCCGGGCCUUGUACACACCGCCCGUCACACCAUGAGAGUUUGUAACACCCGAAGCCGGUGGCGUAACCCUUUUAGGGAGCGAGCCGUCUAAGGUGGGACAAAUGAUUAGGGUGAAGUC
rnacentral:rRNA from 1 species